rnacentral:rRNA from 1 species
UACGUAGGGGGGCAAGCGUUGUCCGGAUUUAUUGGGCGUAAAGAGCGUGUAGGCGGCCUUACAGGUCAGCUGUGAAAACUCGAGGCUCAACCUCGAGACGUCGGUUGAAACCGUAAGGCUAGAGUCCGGAAGAGGAGAGUGGAAUUCCCGGUGUAGCGGUGAAUGACGCAGAUAUCGGGAAGAACACCCGUGGCGAAGGCGGCUCUCUGGGACGGUACUGACGCUGAGACGCGGAAAGCGUGGGGAGCGAACAGG